rnacentral:rRNA from 1 species
GACGAACGCUGGCGGCGUGCUUAACACAUGCAAGUCGAACGAAGUGGCGAACGGGUGAGUAAUGCGUAAUCAACCUGCCCUUCAGAGGGGGACAACAGUUGGAAACGACUGCUAAUACCCCAUACUGAAGGAGGGGAUUGCGUUUGAUUAGCUAGUUGGAGGGGUAACGGCCAACGAGGGCGAUGAUCAGUAGCCGGUUCGUGAGGAUGAACGGGCACAAUGGGACUUAGAAACGGCGCAGACGCCUACGGGAGGCAGCAGUGGGGAAUUUUCCGCAAUGGACUGAAUUCUGACGGAGCAACGCCGGGUGAGUGAUGACGGCCUGCGGGUUGUAAAGCUCUGUUAAUCGGGACGCGGUACCGGAAUAGAAAGCCACGGCUAACUACGUGCCAGCAGCCGCGGUAAUUC